AAUGAAGGAAUACAGGGAACAAACCUAGGUGUCCAUCAAUGCUGGAUUGGAUACAGAAAAUAUGCCACAUACACACCAUGGAAUACUGUGCAGCCAUAAAAAAGAAUGAGAUUCUGUUAUUUGUAGCAACACGGAUGCAGCUGGAGGCCAUUAUUCUGAGCAAAUUAGUACAGGACCAGAAAACUAAAUACCUCAUGUUCUCACUUAUAAGUGGCAGCUGAACAUUGGGUACUCAUGGACAUAAAGAUGGCAACAAUGGACAGUGGGGACUACUAGAAGGAGUGGGGGAAUGGGGACAAGGGUCGAAAAACUAACUGUUGGGUGUUAUGCUCACUACCUUGGUGAUGGGAUUAAUCGUACCCCAAACCUUAACAUCACACAAUCUACCCAUGUAAGAAACCUGCACAUUUACCCUCUGAAUCUAAAACAAAAGCUAAAAUUACAA